rnacentral:rRNA from 1 species
GGGAAACUGCCCGAUGGAGGGGGAUAACUACUGGAAACGGUAGCUAAUACCGCAUAACGUCGCAAGACCAAAGUGGGGGACCUUCGGGCCUCACACCAUCGGAUGUGCCCAGAUGGGAUUAGCUAGUAGGUGGGGUAAUGGCUCACCUAGGCGACGAUCCCUAGCUGGUCUGAGAGGAUGACCAGCCACACUGGAACUGAGACACGGUCCAGACUCCUACGGGAGGCAGCAGUGGGGAAUAUUGCACAAUGGGCGCAAGCCUGAUGCAGCCAUGCCGCGUGUAUGAAGAAGGCCUUCGGGUUGUAAAGUACUUUCAGCGGGGAGGAAGGCGGUGAAGUUAAUAGCUUCACCGAUUGACGUUACUCGCAGAAGAAGCACCGGCUAACUCCGUGCCAGCAGCCGCGGUAAUACGGAGGGUGCAAGCGUUAAUCGGAAUUACUGGGCGCAAAGCGCACGCAGGCGGUCUGUCAAGUCGGAUGUGAAAUCCCCGGGCUUAACCUGGGAACUGCAUUCGAAACUGGCAGGCUAGAGUCUUGUAGAGGGGGGUAGAAUUCCAGGU